AGAAGCUUCACAAGAGGCCAGAAGAACACCCAGAGGCGUAACAACAGAGCCUCUGUCUAUGGCCACAACAGAGUCUUGGAGAACCUCAGAAGCUGUGCCACCUUCCAAGACCUGAGGGAGUUUCUGAAUGCACGUAGGUCCCAGAGAUGCUGGAAUAAUGGACCAUACAAGAGCAGACGCCAGGGAAGACGUUAUGCCCCUUGGUAGAAGACGCGUAGAGAAAAGCGAUCCAGCAUAAACUGAAACAUCUGCUGUAAUUCUACGCUAUAUGCAAAGCCUAUACCACCGGCUGCCAUCUUACAUUGUAUACAGGCUUUCUAUAACUCCAAGCAGUCUAUAGUACGAACUACCUAUUGGAAUGUCACCACAUUUUCUCUAACUUUAAGGCGUACUGAAUAUUUGGCGACAUUCCAAUAAAUGGGUGAAUUUUUAUUAUAGACACCCUAUAUAAAGCUAUACCACCUGCUUUAGUCUUGCUGUAAUACCCUGCUAGAUGAGGUAUGUAAGGGUGUUGAUGUUUUACAGCUUCACCUUUUCGGGCCUACUCAUUUUGGUCACAUUUGCUCAGGUUAUUCUGUUCUCUUUAUGUUGCAGACAGAAGGACUUGAAUAGCUGACAAAUUAUUAACAUCUUCACAACAAUAUUUAAGUUUCAGUUGAGUAUAUUCACAAAUAUUUGACAUGUGAAGCAAAAUGGGUAUUUUAUUGCACUGGAAUUCUGGAACUUACUUUGUUUUGAUAGAAUAAGUUAGUUUUACAUACAAAUGCAAACACUGUAUCAUUAAACAUUCAAUGCCUUUACAUUAAUAGUUUUGUCAGAGAAAUUGGUAUAACAACUCAGCAUUUAUCAGUUUAAA